rnacentral:rRNA from 1 species
CUGAGGGGACUGCGGAGACAUUACCGAGUGAGGGCCCUCUGGGUCCAACCUCCCACCCGUGUUUAUUUUACCUUGUUGCUUCGGCGGGCCCGCCUUAACUGGCCGCCGGGGGGCUUACGCCCCCGGGCCCGCGCCCGCCGAAGACACCCUCGAACUCUGUCUGAAGAUUGUAGUCUGAGUGAAAAUAUAAAUUAUUUAAAACUUUCAACAACGGAUCUCUUGGUUCCGGCAUCGAUGAAGAACGCAGCGAAAUGCGAUACGUAAUGUGAAUUGCAAAUUCAGUGAAUCAUCGAGUCUUUGAACGCACAUUGCGCCCCCUGGUAUUCCGGGGGGCAUGCCUGUCCGAGCGUCAUUGCUGCCCUCAAGCACGGCUUGUGUGUUGGGCCCCGUCCUCCGAUCCCGGGGGACGGGCCCGAAAGGCAGCGGCGGCACCGCGUCCGGUCCUCGAGCGUAUGGGGCUUUGUCACCCGCUCUGUAGGCCCGGCCGGCGCUUGCCGAUCAACCCAAAUUUUUAUCCAGGUUGACCUCGGAUCAGGUAGGGAUACCCGCUGAACUUAAGCAUAUCAAUAAGCGGAGGAA